GCUGGGUGCGGUGGCUCACGCCUGUAAUCCUAGCACUUUGGGAGGCUGAGGUGGGUGGAUCACCUGAGGUCAGGAGUUCAAGACCAGCCUGGCCAACAUGGUGAAACCCCAUCUCUA
rnacentral:sRNA from 1 species